rnacentral:rRNA from 1 species
UACGGAGGAUGCGAGCGUUAUCCGGAUUUAUUGGGUUUAAAGGGUGCGUAGGCGGGUUAAUAAGUCAGUGGUGAAAACCUACAGCUUAACUGUAGACUUGCCGUUGAUACUGUUAGUCUUGAGUGUGGUCAAGGUAGGCGGAAUGUGUAAUGUAGCGGUGAAAUGCUUAGAUAUUACACAGAACACCGAUUGCGAAGGCAGCUUACUGGGCCAUUACUGACGCUGAUGCACGAAAGCGUGGGGAUCAAACAGGAUUAGAAACCCCGGUAGUCC